UGGGGAAUAUUGCACAAUGGGGGAAACCCUGAUGCAGUGACGCCGCGUGAAGGAAGAAGGUUUUCGGAUCGUAAACUUCUAUCAGCAGGGAAGAAAAUGACGGUACCUGAAUAAGAAGCCCCGGCUAACUACGCGCCAGCAGCCGCGGUAAUACGUAGGGGGCAAUCUUUAUCAGGAAUUAGGGGGUGUAAAGGGUGCGUAGGCGGCAAUAUAAGUCAGGUGUAAAAGCCCAAAGCUCAACUUUGGGACUGCACUUGAAACUAUGUAGCUAGAGUACAGGAGAGGAAAGUGGAAUUCCUAGUGUAGCGGUGAAAUGUGUAGAUAUUAGGAAGAACACCAGUGGAGAAGGCGACUUUCUGGACUGUAACUGACGUUGAGGCAAGAAAGCGUGGGGAACGAACAGGAUUAGAUACCCUGGUAGUCCACGCCAUAAACGAUGAAUGAUAGGUGUCGGCUCUUAAAGGGUCGGUGCCGAAGUUAACACAUUAAGCAUUCCACCCUGGGAGU
rnacentral:rRNA from 1 species